AUUAGAUGCGUAAAUAACAUUCGUGCGGAAAUUCUAAACAGUUUCCAUUUCAUAUCUAUAGUAUAACCAUCUUUUACAUGCACAAGCAAUAACCAUCAUAUGUACCGUUUUAUGAAACAACGUAUGUAUCUUCUUGCAUUACUUGGUGUUCCUCUUUUUGUGAAUAAACAGAAAAUUCUGUCAAAAUAAACAUUUAUUAUCAAGCAGAAAAUUACUUCCAUGCAUGUAUAAUAACUACGAUGUUUAUCAAUAUAUAAAGUAAUUUAUUUAUAAAUAAUCAAAUAUCGUCAUGAAAUCACGGUGUAACAGUUGGUUGUAGAUUACAUAAUUGCACGUGAGAUAUGUAUUACGUCUGACCAUUGUCCGAGAUCACUGUCAGUAGUAAUGGUUUAUAUACGCUAAGCCUCAGUAGUAACAAGCUGUAUGGAUCAGACUGCAAUUUAUGCAAUCUAAUAAUCUAGCUAGGUUGCAAGAUGUACGUGAUAAAACCAGGCAAUAAAUUAUAUUUGUCUACCAAUUA
rnacentral:lncRNA from 1 species